rnacentral:rRNA from 1 species
UACAGAGGUCUCAAGCGUUGUUCGGAAUUACUGGGCGUAAAGGGCUCGUAGGCGGCCAACUAAGUCGGACGUGAAAUCCCUCAGCUUAACUGGGGAACUGCGUCCGAUACUGGAUGGCUUGGAUUUGGGAGAGGGAUGCGGAAUUCCAGGUGUAGCGGUGAAAUGCGUAGAUAUCUGGAGGAACACCGGUGGCGAAGGCGGCAUCCUGGACCAAUAUUGACGCUGAGGAGCGAAAGCCAGGGGAGCAAACGGG